rnacentral:ncRNA from 1 species
AAAAAGUUUUAUUUUAGCUUGAAAAUUAAUUUUUUAUUAUUUAUGUAUAUAUUAGUUGAAUUUUAAAUAUAUAGUUUAGUAGCAUAUAGAUUUAAAAAUGAGGUUAUUCUUGAUUUGGAUAUAUAAAUUUAAUUUAAACUAAGGUUGUGCCAGCAGUUGCGGUUAAACAAUCUAUAUAAGUUAAUUUUUUUUUAUUUAAUUAGAUUGGUAUAUUUUUAAAUUUAAAUUGAAAUUUUUUAGAUGAAAUUUUAUAUUUUAAUUAAAUUUAGUUUUAGAUAUUGAAGUUAAUAAAUUAAGUUUUUAAACUAGGAUUAGAUACCCUAUUAUUUUUAAUGUAUUAAGUAUAUAAAAAUUAGUAAAAGUUAAGUUCUUGAAAAUUAAAAAAUUUGGCGGUAUAUUAGUCUUUUCAGAGGAACUUGUCUAGUAAACGAUAAUCCACGAUAUAUUUAACCUUAUUUUUAAGUUUGUAUAUCGUUGUAUUAAGAAUAUUUUUUAAGAAGAAUAAUGUUCAAUAUUUUUAAUUUGAAUUUAAUUCAGAUCAAGGUGUAGUUAAUAGUAAGGUUAGGAUGAGUUACAUUAUUAAUAUUUGUGGUUUUAAAUUUUAAAAGUUUAAUUAAAUUGGAUUUGAAAGUAAUGAUUUAUUUUUUUUUAAGUUGUGAUUUUAGCUCUAAUAUAUGUACAUAUUGCCCGUCGCUUUCAUUAUGUUGAAAUAAGUCGUAACAAAGUAGACUUAUUGGAAAAUGAGUCUAGAAAAAC